rnacentral:rRNA from 4 species
UGUUUCCAUUAAUCAAGAACGAAAGUUAGAGGUUCGAAGGCGAUCAGAUACCGCCCUAGUUCUAACCAUAAACGAUGCCAGCCAGCGAUCCGUCUGUGUUCCUCAAAUGACACGACGGGCAGCUUCCGGGAAACCAAAGCUUUUGGGUUCCGGGGGAAG